CUUGAGUGUCUUGGCUGCUGCUAUUAGAACCAGCUCAGAGUCAACAGCAAUGAGAGUGGAUGGGGGCGGUACCAACCAGCUACCAUCCCACCAAUGAAAUCCAAAGAUAGCAAAGAUACAAACACUACGCCAGUUCCUGAAAACUUUGAUUCUCUCGUGUUUAUUGGUUUAUGAGAAGAACAGUUGGAGUCAAGGAAGCUGCCCUGUCAUCCUCCUUUGCGCGCUCUCUGGUCUGGAAAUUCGAGGCUAAAGACCCGACCCUCUUCUUGAAGAGCAACGUGCAAAGGUGCCGAUCUGUUGUUAUCACUGCGAAUAGAAGAGACAUGUACCUAUUAUUUAAGGUGCAGACAGUAAACUGUGUUACCGUCGAAAGCAAAAACUGGCGGCUGUACGUCCGAUAUUUGAUGGGCGUGUCCGAUGUACUGGAAAGCAGCGGAAGUUCUAUUUUGUCACCGUGAACAGCAUUAUACGCCAAGUGAUCACACUGAAUCUAGCACGUCGUGUUACAGUGUUACAUUCAUGCCCUAGAUACAAGAAAUCUUCGUCUGGUUUCGGUACGCCAGUGUCCCGAUAUUGGGGAGUACUCGUGUCCAAUACGAAAAAAUUGGACAUCUUAGAAGCAGAGAAGACAUGAUACAAAAACUAAACUGUCAAAUUCAUAUAUGAAUGUACUUCUGUACAAAGUGUACUUGAGUCCACCUGUAUCUCUGUCUAAAGGACAUUACAUUCUGAAUUCAGACGGCCGCGUAUGCAAUGAAGAGAGCCUACACCUUGAAAACUGAUGCAACCCCAUAGCAUCUAGACUGCUUAAUUUUAUAAUAAUUGUUGGAUGCUGCACUACUG